AUGAUUUUAACUAUAAAGUGAGUGGCGAACGGGUGAGUAACACGUGGGUAACCUGCCCAGAAGUGGGGGAUAACACCUGGAAACAGAUGCUAAUACCGCAUAACAAAAUUAACCGCAUGGUUGAUUUUUAAAAGAUGGCUUCGGCUAUCACUUCUGGAUGGACCCGCGGCGUAUUAGCUAGUUGGUGAGAUAAAGGCUCACCAAGGCAGUGAUACGUAGCCGACCUGAGAGGGUAAUCGGCCACAUUGGGACUGAGACACGGCCCAGACUCCUACGGGAGGCAGCAGUAGGGAAUCUUCCACAAUGGACGCAAGUCUGAUGGAGCAACGCCGCGUGAGUGAUGAAGGCUUUCGGGUCGUAAAACUCUGUUGUUGGAGAAGAACGUGUGUGAGAGUAACUGCUCAUGCAGUGACGGUAUCCAACCAGAAAGCCACGGCUAACUACGUGCCAGCAGCCGCGGUAAUACGUAGGUGGCAAGCGUUAUCCGGAUUUAUUGGGCGUAAAGCGAGCGCAGGCGGUCUUUUAAGUCUAAUGUGAAAGCCUUCGGCUUAACCGAAGAAGUGCAUUGGAAACUGGGAGACUUGAGUGCAGAAGAGGAGAGUGGAACUCCAUGUGUAGCGGUGAAAUGCGUAGAUAUA
rnacentral:rRNA from 1 species